rnacentral:rRNA from 1 species
UACGGAGGGAGCAAGCGUUACUCGGAAUUAUUGGGCGUAAAGGGCGCGUAGGCGAUUCGAUAAGUCUCAUGUGAAAUCCCAGGGCCUAACCCUGGAAUGGCAUGGGAUACUGUUGGAUUUGAGUUCCGGAGAGGAAGGCAGAAUUCCCGGUGUAGCGGUGAAAUGCGUAGAUAUCGGGAGGAAUACCAGUGGCGAAGGCGGCUCUCUGGACCACAACUGACGCUGAGGCGCGAAAGCGAUGGGGGAGCGAACCGGGAUUAAGCAUGAU